AUUGAACGCUGGCGGCAGGCUUAACACAUGCAAGUCGAGCGGGGUGAUGGUGCUUGCACUAUCACUUAGCGGCGGACGGGUGAGUAAUGCUUAGGAAUCUGCCUAUUAGUGGGGGACAACAUCUCGAAAGGGAUGCUAAUACCGCAUACGUCCUACGGGAGAAAGCAGGGGAUCACUUGUGACCUUGCGCUAAUAGAUGAGCCUAAGUCGGAUUAGCUAGUUGGGGGGGUAAAGGCCUACCAAGGCGACGAUCUGUAGCGGGUCUGAGAGGAUGCUCCGCCACACUGGGACGGAGACACGGCCCAGACUCCUACGGGAGGCAGCAGCGGGGAAUAUUGGGCAAUGGGGGGAACCCGGAUCCAGCCAUGCCGCGUGUGUGAAGAAGGCCUUAUGGUUGUAAAGCACUUUAAGCGAGGAGGAGGCUACUGAGACUAAUACUCUUGGAUAGUGGACGUUACUCGCAGAAUAAGCACCGGCUAACUCUGUGCCAGCCGCCGCCGUAA
rnacentral:rRNA from 1 species